rnacentral:rRNA from 1 species
CACGUAGGGUGCGAGCGUUGUCCGGAAUUAUUGGGCGUAAAGAGCUCGUAGGCGGUGUGUCGCGUCGGCCGUGAAAACCUGCAGCUUAACUGUGGGCUUGCGGUCGAUACGGGCAUCACUGGAGUUCGGCAGGGGAGACUGGAAUUCCUGGUGUAGCGGUGAAAUGCGCAGAUAUCAGGAGGAACACCGGUGGCGAAGGCGGGUCUCUGGGCCGAUACUGACGCUGAGGAGCGAAAGUGUGGGGAGCAAACAGG